GGGGUAAAAUUAAUAAGUUAGUUAAUUAAUAAAAGAAAUUUUAAUAUUGAAAUAUUUAAUGGGGGUUAAUGUAUUUUAAUAGAAAAAAUUUGAAAUUUUAUAGUGGAUUAGUAUUGUGAAAGAUUUUUGAAAUAGUUAAAAUAAAAAUUAAUUUAUAAGUAAAUUUAAUUUAUUGUAUCUUGUGUAUCAGAGUUUAUUAAAAAUUUUUUAUUAGGUUAAAUUUCUCGAAUUUAAAAGAGUUAAUUAAUUAUAAAAAUUAUUGUUUCAUAAAUAUUUUAAAUAAUUAAUUAGAAAUGAAAUGUUAUUCGUUUUUAAAUAUAUCUAGUUAUUUUAGAAAAAAAUUUAAUUUUUAAUUUAAAUUUAAAAUUAAUUGAUUAGUUAAUUAAUUUUAAAUUUAAAUUUAAUAUUUUAAGGGAUAAGCUUUAAAUUAAAUUUUUAUAAUAAAAUAUUUAAUAUUUGAAAAUUUUAUAAUUUAUAUUGUUAAUAAAUUUUAAUUUAUUAUAAAUAAUUUCAUAAAAUUUAAAAUUUAAUUAAAAUUUAAUUUUUUAUAAAAAAAAAUUUUUUAAUAAUAAAAAAUUAGUGAUAAUGAUAAAAUUAGUAUAUGUAUUUGAAUUGAAUUUAUAUAAAAAUUAUAAAAAAGUUAUUUUAAAGGAAUUCGACAAAAAAUUAUAUUCACCUGUUUAUCAAAAACAUGUCUUUUUGAUUUAUAAUUUAAAGUCUAAUCUGCCCACUGAUAUUAAUUAAAGGGCUGCAGUAUAUUGACUGUACAAAGGUAGCAUAAUCAAUAGUCUCUUAAUUGGUGACUUGUAUGAAAGAUUGGAUGAAAUAUAAAUUGUCUCUAAAAUAUUAUUAGAAUUUAAUUUUUUAAUUAAAAAGUUAAAAUAUAUUAAAAAGACGAGAAGACCCUAUAGAGUUUUAUAUUUAUUAAUUUUUAAAUUUUUAAUUAAUAGUUUAAUUUAAAAGUUAUUAAUUAUUUUAUUGGGGUGAUAGAAAAAUAAAUUAAACUUUUUUUAAAAUUAAACAUAGAUAAAUGAUUAAUUGAUCCAAUAUUUUUGAUUAUAAGAAAAAAUUACCUUAGGGAUAACAGCGUAAUUUUUUUUUUUAGUUCAAAUAAAAAAAAAAGUUUGCGACCUCGAUGUUGGAUUAAGAUAAAAUUUAAAUGCAGAAGUUUAAAAUUUUGAUCUGUUCGAUCAUUAAAAUCUUACAUGAUCUGAGUUCAAACCGGUGUAAGCCAGGUUGGUUUCUAUCUUUUAAAUAUUUUUAUAUUUUAGUACGAAAGGAUUAAAUAUAAUAAUUAAAUUAAGUUAAAUUGAAUUUUAUUAAUUAAUAAAUAGAUUUA
rnacentral:rRNA from 1 species